rnacentral:misc_RNA from 1 species
UACGUAGGGGGCAAGCGUUGUCCGGAAUUAUUGGGCGUAAAGCGCGCGCAGGCGGUCUUUUAAGUUUGGUGUUUAAGCCCAGGGCUCAACCCUGGUUCGCACUGAAAACUGGGAGACUGGAGUGCAGGAGAGGAAAGUGGAAUUCCACGUGUAGCGGUGAAAUGCGUAGAUAUGUGGAGGAACACCAGUGGCGAAGGCGACUUUCUGGACUGUAACUGACGCUGAGGCGCGAAAGCGUGGGGAGCAAACAGG